UACGUAGGGGGCAAGCGUUAUCCGGAUUUACUGGGUGUAAAGGGAGCGUAGACGGUAUGGCAAGUCUGAUGUGAAAACCCGGGGCUCAACCCCGGGACUGCAUUGGAAACUGUCGUACUAGAGUGUCGGAGAGGCAAGUGGAAUUCCUAGUGUAGCGGUGAAAUGCGUAGAUAUUAGGAGGAACACCAGUGGCGAAGGCGGCUUGCUGGACGAUGACUGACGUUGAGGCUCGAAAACGUGGGGAGCAAACAGG
rnacentral:rRNA from 1 species